GGCGGAUGUAGCCAAGUGGAUCAAGGCAGUGGAUUUGUGAAUCCCCCAUGCGGGAA
rnacentral:tRNA from 2 species